UGGAUUUUGGUCCCUUGUGGGGUUGAGUUUGACACUCCUGCUCUAUGCAGAUGACUUCCUGUUCUUGAAUGCUUCGUCACAGACGGAGUCACAGACAAGGACUGGAUGACCUUCAUGUUGGCUCGGUGCCGGUCUAAUCUGCUGGCUGCUCUGCAAACACUGCAGACCUUUGUGAAUGCUUUCCACUCCUGGACUGAACCACUAUUUGAUGAAUGACACGUCCAGUAGCUUUCAGAUCUGUCUCUACACCAGGGAUUUUUAUGCAAUCUUUAAUUAGAGAAUUAAUCUCAAAUGGUAAGAGCUUUUUUUGGCAGCCCCACAGUGCUUAUCUAACUGCUGACCCUCCCUAACCAGAACAAACUAUAACUGUUAACAGGAUUUAUCUCGGUUCCAUUCACUUUCCUUGUAAAGAAUCUCUUCACAAAUGUUGUGUCAAAGCAACACAAAAAAGAAAAACCCAAAUGUUAGAAUUCCCACUAUCCAGAACAUUCCAGAUGAUAAUCUCUGAAUCCAGUCCUCCGCAGCUGAGAACAUUUCUCUUCUGUAACAACACAGAUGAAGGCAGCAACUCCAGAGAAAUCCAUGAGUUUAUGAAGAACUGAUUCCAUCAGGUCAGUGCAGGUGAGGGAGUGGCUGAACACCACAUCAUCUCAGGCCCUCAUCAGCAGGAGCUGGACGGGGCAGAAUGAGCAGCUUCCCUCAGGACAGACCUUUGAGUCAUUUCCACAGGAGUCAGCCUGCACUGGUUCUGGUUCUGAACAGGUCAGUGCUGCACACAGAACUCAGAGAGAUGAAGAACACAGCUCAGGCUGAAGCCACAGCUUCAGAGGAGAAGGUUUGUCUCCACCUGCUGGAGAUGACAGUAAACUCCAGAGCUUUCACACGUUCUUGAUGUUUUUCAGGACUUCAUUCUCAUCCCUAAAAUGCUGAGUUUGUUCUUCAGAAUCAGAACUCUUGUCAUGGAGCAGAUCCACAGAUUAACUUUAGUCUCACAUGGACUUUUCUUUGAUCUUCAGCAGCAGAUGACUCAAAACAAUGAAGACAAAAACACUUUAGAAUGUUCUGAAGAGUCACUUAGUGAAAAGUACUCGUUCAAACCCAAACGUCUGAAGCCUGAGCAGUGAUAGAAAGAGGAAAUCAUCUCUUCUACUCAAACCCUCUUGAACAGAUCAGACAGUUUCAAUACUUCAGUUCAUUUUUUAAAACUUGUCUUAUGUUUUUUAAGUUUCAAACGUUUCCACUGAAUGUCUUUGCUUCCCUUCAAGAGCGUCAUCUCUUCCAUCUCCAGACUCAUGAGGGAAUCUUUAUGUUUCUAAAGACACAGGAAGUUGAUCAGCAGCUUCAGGUCACCAUUGAUCCGCUCUUUGGGAGGAACAAUCCCAUCAAGCACACAAGACUGAAAGCUUCUCUGCUCCCGCUGAAGACGAACCUCUGCUGACAGGUAAUGUGCAGCAGAGACGUCCAAAAAUAUCUCAGCCAAACCGAGGGCAGCUGCUGUGGGGGAGGAGAGGACUCCAUCGUUGCUGUGGCAACCAGCCAAAUUUGCCCCGGCCCCAGUGACUGUCAUGUACAGAGGAGCGGUGCAGAGGCUUUGGAUCCGACCCGUCCGGGUUCAGUCUGCUGAUGCUCGGAUCAGGUAAAACGGUCUCACCAUGUCACUAUUUGGAGCUAAAUCUCUGUUUUCUGAGCUGAGAUCAUCCUGCAGUCAGACCCCCGGUCCUGCUCUGUGCUGUCAGUGGUGGUGUACCCCAAGGCUCUGUGCGUGGUUCAGUCUUGAACAUAUCGUCUUCAGGCUGUUGUUGGUGCAGUGAUCUGCUGCGUCGUGUUCUUGGUUUGGUUUGCUGUUUUCUCUGGGUCGGUCACCCCAGCUUUAGGCUGCAGAUCAGCUGUCUUGAUCUCAGGUUCUACACAAGUGUCCAGGUUUUCAGAUCUUCAUCAUCAGCUCAUCUGCUUAGUCACCAGUUAACAAGCUCCAUGAAAUACACUCUACAGAAAUCAGGGUUUAGCUAAUUCCAUUUUAAUACAUACAGACUAAUCAAACAUAAGACACAGAUUCCUGAUCCCCCCCCCCUCACCCAAAAAAUAAAUAUUAAAAAAGCUCCUUUUCAGGGUUUUAAGUCUCUUUCAGUGUUCAGACAAAAAUGUCAAUGUCCAAAAAAGUAUAGAUCCGCCAGGAAACGGGAGUCCAAAAACAAAAUGGAGUGAUGUGACCAACGUGGAUGUAGUUUCCUCCCUUAAUCCAGCUGUCGUG